UUAUCAUUUUAGUUUCUGAUCAUUUUUUUUUUCUCUGUUUCUCGCUCUGUUUCCAUCAGAUUCCAAUCAUCAUCCUUUCCUUCCCCAAAUAGAUUUUUCCAUUCCGUUUCAAAUGCACAAAUUCCACAAACUUCAGCAAUCUCUCUGUGUCUCUCAAUCCCUGUUUUCGUUCCCAAGCACCCUCUUCUCUUUUCUCCUCUCUCUUCUUUCCCACAAAACCUAAUUCUUCCAUCCACGCCUCUUUUCUUUCCCCCAUUCAAACCACGGCCCUCCCUCCUUCUCACAUUUGCAAUUUGGUCUCUUACUCCCACCAUUGAUUCGCCAACACUCCGACCUUGUUGCGAUUAACCAGCGUUUUGUGUCUCGUUGGGUUUUGAUAAUCUCUUCCGUAUUCAAUAUCGCCGAAUUUUUUUUUUCCCCUUUCCUAUAGGGUUUUUCCCCGUUAACCUUGUAGAUUUUAUUUCAAUUUCUCACCAAGAUAUUCGUAUACACUUAUAUUUGUUAUUUUUGCAUAUACAGUGUUAAUAUCUGAAAUUAUUUAGGGUUCUGUGUCUGUGAUCUUUUUCUGAAACGCCCAUAAUUAUUGGCGGCAUUUACAGCGCACAUACCAUUUUCUAAAAAGCCUAUCUGGGCCCUGCUUGUUGAGCUCUGAAAGUUUCCUUUUUAAGCAUAACUGUCAACGAUUUGGAUAAAUUGUCAGAUUCUGGGGUUUAUUGAACCCCAAAACAACCUCUUUGUAUUAACGUCCAAAGUUACGUCUCUUGCUUUUGAUAUCUGUUUUUUUUCUUCUUUUUUGUUGUUUGUUUUGGGUGGAAGGAGUUAUUGUAGUUGUUGAGGGUUUUGGGGGAGAAAGUCUAAGCUUGCAUGGGCGAACAUGAGGAAUGGGCACAGCCACCGAGUGGGCUAUUGCCGAACGGCCUGUUGCCCAAUGAAGCAGCCUCUGUAAUGCGAGUGCUCGACUCGGACCGAUGGUUAAAGGCUGAGGAAAGGACUGCAGAGCUUAUUGCCUGCAUCCAGCCCAACCCUCCAUCUGAGGAGCGCCGAAAUGCGGUGGCAGAUUAUGUGCAGCGGCUCAUUAUGACGUGCUUCCCCUGCCAGGUGUGUAUCUUUGGGUCCGUUCCGCUCAAGACUUAUUUGCCUGAUGGUGACAUUGAUUUAACAACCUUCAGUAAGAAUCAAAAUAUGAAAGAAACAUGGGCUCAUCAAGUUCGUGAUAUUCUGGAGAAUGAGGAAAAGAACGAGAAUGCUGAAUUCCAUGUAAAAGAGGUUCAGUACAUUCAGGCAGAAGUGAAGAUAAUCAAAUGUCUUGUGGAAAAUAUUGUGGUGGACAUAUCAUUCGACCAGCUUGGAGGAUUGUGCACUCUUUGUUUCCUUGAGGAGGUUGAUCAUUUGAUAAAUCAGAAUCAUUUGUUUAAGCGUAGCAUUAUAUUGAUAAAGGCCUGGUGCUAUUAUGAGAGCCGGAUCCUGGGUGCUCACCAUGGGCUUAUCUCAACUUAUGCCUUGGAAACCUUGGUUCUUUACAUAUUUCAUGUCUUUAAUAAUUCCUUCGCGGGACCUCUUGAGGUCCUCUAUCGUUUUCUGGAGUUCUUUAGUAAAUUUGAUUGGGACAAUUUUUGUGUAAGCCUAUGGGGUCCUGUGCCCAUUAGUUCACUUCCAGAUGUAACAGCGGAACCUCCUCGAAAUGAUGGUGGAGAGUUACUACUCAGCAAGUUGUUUCUAGAUGCUUGUAGCUCAGUGUAUGCUGUUUUCCCUGGUGGUCAAGAAAAUCAGGGGCAACCCUUUCUUUCCAAGCAUUUUAAUGUAAUUGAUCCUUUGCGGGUAAACAACAAUCUUGGCCGUAGUGUCAGUAAAGGUAACUUUUUUAGGAUACGCAGUGCUUUCACAUUUGGCGCUAAAAGGCUGGCAAGGUUACUUGAUUGCCCAAAAGACGACCUAUUGUUUGAAGUAAAUCAGUUCUUUUUGAACACUUGGGAGAGACAUGGCAGUGGCCAUCGUCCUGAUGCCCCGAGGAAUGACUUGUGGCGCUUGGGAUUGUCCAAUUCAGACCACUUAAAUGAGUCUGAGAGUCUCAGGAGUAAUUCAAGUGGCCAAAGAAAGGAUUUUUUCUCUGGUCAUGAAAAUGAAAGUCAAGUUGAUGAAACACGAAGUUCGCGUGGUGAUUCCUUCCAGCAUGGGAAUCAUUCCCUGGAAAGUGCAUCUAGAACCAGUGAUGUUUCUACAGUCUCCCAUACUAAAAGUGAAAAUGGAAACCCAAACAACUUGAGGGUAUCCAAUCAGGUUAGACUUGAAAUUAAUUCCAAUCAAGGUACACAUGUGGAUAUGGUUCAGAAAAGUUCUAAAGCUGAUAAAUUGGCAAAUGACAUCCAGGGGAAGUUUGUCUUUGCAAGGACACGUUCCAGCCCUGAGCUUACUGACACGUAUGGUGAAAUUUCUUCUCAUGCAAGGUGUAGUAGAGCCCCAGAAAGUGGAAAAAGCCAGAACUCUUCUGCUAGGUUGGAUAAUAGGAGGAGGAAGAACCCAGGAUCUGAUAUUUUGGCAAGCCAUAGCACUAAAACUGAUCCUUCAUCUGUUAGGCACUUCUCAUCCCAUCAAGGUCUAGAUACUGCUGCUGAUUCAAACAACGGUUCCAAUAGUUACCAUGAGGAGUCAGGUUCAGGAGCUAUGAGUGAAGACUUUGCUACUGUCCUGGGGACACAGGGAAUGCAUCAGGACGAGCAAGAUAUUGUGAACAUGUUGGCAUCUUCUACAGCACAUGGUUUUAAUGGACCGGUUCAUCUUCCAUUGAAUAUGGCUUCAGGUCACUUACCACUUCCUCUACCAUCUCCUAUCCCCUCUUCAGUUCUAGCUUCAAUGGGAUAUGCUCCAAGAAAUUUGGGUGGAAUGGUUCCCACAAAUAUCCCAUUUAUUGAGACAUCUUGGGGAACAAACAUGCAACAUCCUCAAGGUUUUCCUUCACCAUCAGCUCCAAAUUUCCCUGGCAUGGGAUGGGGCUCAAAUCCUGAAGAUUUGAUUGAACUUGGUAAGGAGAAAUUUCAAUCAGUUGAAAUGAACCACAGGGAAUCUGAUCAUGAUAACUGGCAUGAGCAGGACAGGGGCUCUGCUGGUGGGUUUGAUCUUGAUCAUGAAAGUUUUGAAAUGCUUCAGUCGGAUGACAAGCAACAGUCAACUUCAGCUAGUUUUAACAUUGUUCCUUCCUCGCGGGUUGGUAGUUCUAAAAUCUCUACAAGAGUUCAACAGAAGAUUACAAAAGAAAACCGAGGGUCAUUAAGGGUAGAUCAUAUAGACAAUGUUGAUUAUCAUGAUAACAGAGGAAAUGAUGUUUACUAUGAUGAGCAAAUUGCAAGUCCGAGAUCAUUGUCCACUGCACCCCCUAGUUCGCUGAGGAGUAGAACUUCUUCAGAGAGUUCUUGGGAAGGAUCCUCGGCAAAGGUCUCAAAGUCAGCCAAGGAAAAACAUGGUAGGAAAACUGUUACAUCUGCUGUGCCAUCUCAUGUGAAAGGUAAGAGUGUGUCUGAUCUAUCCUCCACUCAAGCUGACAAUGACAGCAGAGACUGGAGUCCACUUCCAACCAUGGGCACUGAAAUAGUAGAAAGAAGCAUUGGACCUGUUGCUUCUCUAAAUGUUCCAAGCCAUCAAAUUCCUCAAAUGCUUUUAGGUCAUGGUUCACGGCAAAGGGUUCCUGAUAAUUCUGGAGUUGUUCCCUUGACCUUUUAUCCUACAGGGCCACCUGUUCCUUUUGUUACAAUGCUUCCAGUGUACAAUUUCCCAACAGAGUCAGGAACUUCUGAUGGAGUGACGAAUCAUUUAAUUAGGGAAGAGCAGCUGGAUAAUGGUGAUUCUGGUCAGAAUUUUGAUUCAUCCGAGGGUCUUGAUCAGCCUGAGGUGUUAAGUAAUUUCAAUUCUAUGAGAAGGGCUGCUGCUGUUGACCCAUCACAGCACAAGGCUGACAUUCUUAACGGUGACUUUCCUAGGCAUUGGCAAAAUUUGCAAAUUGGGCGGUUUUGUCAAAACUCACGGUAUCCUGCUCCUAUGAUUUAUUCUUCACCUGCUGUGAUGCCUCCUGUCUUAUUACAGGGUCGAUUUCCAUUGGAUGGUACAGGGAGACCUCUGUCAGCAAAUAUGAAUGUCUUCACUCAGUUUAUGAGUUAUGGGCAUCGGGUUGUUCCUGUUGCUCCUCAGUCUGUUUCAAAUAGACCUGCUGUUUAUCAAUGUUACGUGGAUGAAAUACCAAAGCAGCGUAGUGGGACCGGAACAUACCUGCCAAAUCCUAAGGUUUCUAAUUCGGACAGACAUUCUACAAGUUCCAGACGAGGGAAUUACAGCUAUGAUAGAAGUGACCACCAUGGUGAUAGAGAGAGGAAUUGGAACAUUGAUUCGAGGUCGCGAACUGCUGGGCGCAGCCAUGGCCGCAGCCAAGCUGAAAAGCCGAACUCAAGAUCAGACCGGUUGGUGGCAAGUGAGAGUCGAACUGACAGGUCUUGGGGACCACAUAGACAUGACUCAUUCCCUUCAUACCAUUCUCAGAAUGGUUCAGUUCGCUCAAACUCUAUGCGGACUGGUCCUGCCAAUGUGGCAUAUGGAAUGCAUCCAAUACCAUCCAUGAAUUCCAGUGGGGUUUUGUCAAAUGGACCUACUAUUCCACCUCUCGUUAUGCUGUAUCCUUAUGAUCAUAGUACUGGCUAUGGAUCACAUGCUGGACAGCUUGAGUUUGGAUCACUUGGACCUGUGGGUUUCUCAGCUGUGAAUGAAGUAUCACAACUGAAUGAGGGAAGCCGUUGUAGUGGGGGAUUUGAAAUUCAUGGUGUCUCUGCUCAACGGUCCUCACCAGAUGAGCCUUCUUCACCCCAUAUCCAGAGGUAGUUGGUGCGCUUUCUCUAAGACCGCUAAUCAUCUUAAACCAACUAAAAUGCAUCAAGUCUAUAAACACUAUAUUUUUCCAGUUGUGGAGCUGCCAGCUUCUGGUUGACCCAAUAGUAUGGGUCCAGCUCUUCACUGCUUCCCCCAAAAGGGGGAUUUGAUUAUUUAACAGUUCGGUAACUCAGAGGAAAUAUCAGUUGAAAGCUGAGGAUUUUCUGCCUCUUGCAUUUCCAACCGAGGAGGGAAUGAUAAUGGGAGAAAUUAUGAUGGGAAACCCUUCCCGUUUUCGAACGAGGGAUGCCAUGAUUGAGGAAGAAUUGGCUAUCUGAUUUGAACAUAUCUUAAUAUGUUUCUCAUGGAAAGGUCACCCUCAAGUGCUGGCCUUGUGCUUGUUUGUACAAUACAUAGUUGGAUGUGCUCUGUUUUCAAGGAUGACAGAGUUUCGGUGGUGCUGGAUGCAGGAAUUUAGUUAGUUUUUCUUUUUAGGCUCUGAUAACUUGUAACCCCACUGAAAUAGGAACUCCAUGGGCUUCGAAUUUAGGAUUUUGCUUAUAAAUUUCUUCUGUCAGGAUUUUCUCUUACACAAUGUAUUAGGGUUUUUUCAUUAAUAUGCUCAUCAUAUCGCGGCUCUUUUAUUAAUAGCCCAAUAUGUUACCUGUGUAUCAAUAACAACGAUAAUUUUGGAUGAAAAAUUCUACCUAGCUUUGACUA